rnacentral:rRNA from 1 species
UAGGGGAUAUUGGACAAUGGGGGCAACCCUGAUCCAGCCAUGCCGCGUGAGUGAAGAAGGCCCUCGGGUUGUAAAGCUCUUUUGUCCGGAAAGAAAAGCUUCGGGUUAAUACCCCGGGGUUCUGACGGUACCGGAAGAAUAAGCACCGGCUAACUUCGUGCCAGCAGCCGCGGUAAUACGAAGGGUGCAAGCGUUACUCGGAAUUACUGGGCGUAAAGCGUGCGUAGGUGGUUGUUUAAGUCUGAUGUGAAAGCCCUGGGCUCAACCUGGGAAUGGCAUUGGAAACUGGGCAGCUAGAGUGCGGUAGUGGGUAGUGGAAUUCCCGGUGUAGCAGUGAAAUGCGUAGAGAUCGGGAGGAACAUCUGUGGCGAAGGCGACUGCCUGGACCAGCACUGACACUGAGGCACGAAAGCGUGGGGAGCAAACA